GUGAAUCAUCAAAUUUUUGAACGCAAAUUGCACUCUCUGCGAAGAGAAUGCGUGUUUGAGUGCCAGCCUAAAAAAAAUCGACAUAGUUGCUGUGUCGCGGUGAGAUUCGUCUGAAGUUUGGUCAUCUUAAACCCUUGGGUUUUAAGCGGCUUAAAAUUUUCUUUACGAUUCGACGAACGUGUCUAAGAUUUUACUUCUUACACGUUUACGGUAUCUAUCUUUAUUAGACGUGGCCU
rnacentral:misc_RNA from 1 species